AGGGCCAUGGCCUGAAAGAGAGAAGGCAGGGGUCAAAACCCAGCCGGCUUGAGUUCCUUGUGGGUGCUGAAGCCCAAGUGUAGUCAAGAUCGAUUUUAGGAAUAUAAGUGUCAACAGUAACAGAGCACUGAGCCUGGGGCAGACGCUAUCUGAAAGUCUUUGGGCACAAAACCCUGUUAAUCUGAGAUACACACUCCAAAUUGGGCAUCUUCUAAUCCGUGGAGUCCUAACCCGAUGAAAUAUGGCAACCCUCACAGCGAUGGACUGACUUUUGGGCCCUUCAAGUUCACAGGAUGAAAUCCCAACUCUCCAUGGGAUGCUGUUAGGAGGUGAACAUGGACCUGGGAUAUGAACCCGUCAGUCUGGCCCCUGAACCUACACUCUGAAUCCCUGCACCAAGGGACCUCUCUCUGAGAUUACAGUGGACUCUUGAACGGCAAUGAGUACACGGAUUUUUUACAGUGAGCCAGGCCAGAAGGUUCUGAAUUCCCUGGCGAUUUGGCAAAUGACACAUUUGCAGUUCCCAGAAUGGUUUCUGAUGCCGGGACUAACCAGUGAAAAGGAGAGCUGCAAGCAGCCUGGUCCUCCACGCGGUCUUCCCCAAUUAAGAUCUUGGCAGCGAUUCCUAGGCUGACUAUCUGGGGUGUUGACACCAAAAACAGCAUCACAAACUUCUGGCUCAUCACUCUUAAAGACUUGUCUUUGCGGCUGUUUACAGAAGCUUUGGAGAAGGAGGAGGAGGAUUAGAGAAUUAAAAUUCAUGAAGGGACAAGUCACUUCUCAAGUAACAAGGCUAAAAAUACCACAACCUGAUCAGACAGUUGACAACUGCUGCAUUUUAACAUGUUAUGGAUUGGGGGACAUCGGAGUCAGGGGAGACGAACCACGAGAGACUGUGGACUCUGAGAAACAAAC